CAAUUUUAAAAAAAUUAACAACUCCACUCCUGACUCGGACUCCAUUUAUUUAGUGCAUAGCCGCUAUACUUCAUAUUAUACAAUUGAAGUGGAUCCAAACCAAAACAAAAAAUGUAAACAAAGCCCGCACAUGCGCAGAAUGGACUGUAAUCUAGCUUUAAGGAAAUUUUAAAGAAUUUUCAAGGGAUUUUCUCUAAUUGGACGUUUUUUUAAAGUGGAAGCACUGCAAUUUUCAAAAAUAUAAUAUACAUCGCAAACUCGCAAAGAAAUAGAAUUUUGGGUGGAAUUAUACUCGUUUUUUAUAAGUACAAUCUAACAACAAUAUCUUCAGAAUAUAUGAUUCUUCAUCACAUUUACAAAUUUAUUAUUGUAUUUUUUUAUCAAUUUGAGAGACUUUUGAUUCGUGAUUUUGAUCAAUUUCUAUGAAAUUGGGUUCGUGAAAAAUGAAAAUUGAUUCGUGAUUCACGAAUCACGAACCGUUAUUUCGAACCCUGCUAACAAUAGUCCAUAGUUUAUUUAAUAUGUGUUUUAUCACUUUAUAUAUUAAGCAUAAAUAUCUGUGGCAUGGAUGGCCUAUAUUUUGCCGGAUGCCAGUAACCCAAUCCAGCAUAUCCCUACUCUCUGCCCACGGCCAUGUCUCUGCUUAACAUACUAUACAUAUUACAACUUUGCACUUCACUUGGUUCGAUUAGAAUUACUGGGUUUGGUGGAUAAUCCAAUAUAUAGAUACUAUUGAAUUAAGACCUAUAACCAGGAACGAUUGUGAAAAAUGUAACACUAAAUCUUCGACCAGGAAUUGAACCUACGGCCCUGUGCUUCCGGAACAGUGCUCUGCCCAACUGAGGUCCGGAAUCGCAGGACAAUAGGUUUGAUUACUGCCAGAUAUUACACCCUGCUACUACAUAUUACACCCUGCAUUACUUUGUACCAAUAUGAACAGUCUUUGUAAUUCAUGGUGAUUAUGACAAUAAACUAUGGACAUUAUCUUAUAUAUAAAGGAUAAGUCUUAUUAUUAUUUAUUUAAAAAAUUUCUGGUUUCUGAUUGGCUAACAGCCAACUGUGAAAUUGUCAUAUCAACUCAGUGGUUAACCAAAUAUGGAUUUUUCACAUUCAUAUUAGCAAAAUGACGUCAAAGAGUCAACAUGAAAAAAAUUUGGAUAUGUUUGCGCCAUAUUACUAUGACGAUAAGAUUUACAGGGUCUGAAAAUUUGCAGUAUCCCGAUAUCCACGGGAUACUAAAAUUUGGCUUUGGAUACCAAACUGUGAAUGACUUAUAUCCCAAUUGGAUACUAAGAAAAUUUCAAACAUUGAUACUGUAGCUUUUGAAUACUGUCUAUGAAUUUGCCACCCAAGUCUUUCCUCAUAUAAUGUGCAUUUUUGUGUAUUAAUGAAUUGUCUAGUUCUUGACAACUUGACUGUUGAAUCUCCUGUUGUUAUUGUAAUUUGUAACAGCGAGAGUUAUUGGAUGGGACAGGGUAUAAUACUUAUGGUAACCAGUAUCCAGAAGUGGGAUACUGCAUUCUCAGGGCGGAUACUAAACUUUGAAUCCUGGUAUCCCAGUUGGAUACUGAAAAGAUAGUUAAAUUUCAGACCCCGCAAGAAUCAUAUCGACUCGCUGACACCAUUGAUAUGAUGACGACGACGACAGCUGCCGAAGGACUAACUAGGAAUUGUUUUUUUCUUUAUACAGAUAAAAUACAAAUGGCUUCCGUUUGUUUUGAAUUUUUUAAAUAAAUAAUAAAAGUAUUAUUGAAUUUGGUUUUCGCACACAAUAUGAAGAAUUAUCAAUCCCUCAGUUUGGCGUUAUCAACCUCAGCCUUUGGCUUCGGUUGAUAACGGCAAACUUUGGGCUUCAUAAUUCUUCAUAUUGUGCUCAACCUCAUUCAAUAAUUGUUAAAUAUUAAUUAAAAACUGUUUUUACAUCAAGAGUUAAUAGUCCCUUAUAACUGACUGAGCAGUGUCUCAGUUUAGGAUGCAAGUCCAUUGUUCUAGUUUUUUAUAGGGUAUAAUUUACUAAUUAUGAUUAUAUUUUCAAUAAAUAAAGUUUUCCUUUUACAGAUUCCAAUACGAUGGAUCUCUGGUGGCAUUUGCAUGACAGCCUGUGCUUGGAUCAGUAUUAAAUGUACAUGAAGAAAUCAAUGGACUUGAACAAAUUGUUUGUUAGAUCAUAAUAUUGAUUGUGAAGUGGAAAGUGUUAUAAUACGGCUUUGUGAGAAACUCUAUUCGCCACAACACAUUGCUGUGCAAUCAGAACUAAACAUAGUUGUGUAUAAGAAUGACAGAAAAUAAAACUUAUGUUGUGCAUACAGAAUUUUCUAUUUUUUAAAUACAUAAUAUAGGUAAUAUAAUAUAGUAGAAUUUUAUGUCUAAAAAUUUUCUAAAAGUAAC
rnacentral:lncRNA from 1 species